GAUGAAGAACGUAGCGAAAUGCGAUACGUAAUGUGAAUUGCAGAUUUCAGUGAAUCAUCGAAUCUUUGAACGCACAUUGCGCCCGCUAGUAUUCUGGCGGGCAUGCCUGUUCGAGCGUCAUUUCAACCAUCAAGCCCUAGGCUUGCGUUGGAGCCCUGCGGCUGCCGCAGGCUCCCAAAUCCAGUGGCGGGCUCGUCGUCGUACCGAGUGCAGUAAACAUCCUCGCUCAGGGAACGUGACGGGUUCUUGCCGUGAAACCCCCCACAUAUCAAGGUUGACCUCGGAUCAGGUAGGAAUACCCGCUGAACUUAAGCAUAUCAAUAAGGCGGAGGA
rnacentral:misc_RNA from 1 species